GGACGCCAGUCUGCAUGGAGCCGACCUUGAAAUACCACCCUUUAAUGUUUGAUGUUCUAACGUUGACCCGUAAUCCGGGUUGCGGACAGUGUCUGGUGGGUAGUUUGACUGGGGCGGUCUCCUCCUAAAGAGUAACGGAGGAGCACGAAGGUUGGCUAAUCCUGGUCGGACAUCAGGAGGUUAGUGCAAUGGCAUAAGCCAGCUUGACUGCGAGCGUGACGGCGCGAGCAGGUGCGAAAGCAGGUCAUAGUGAUCCGGUGGUUCUGAAUGGAAGGGCCAUCGCUCAACGGAUAAAAGGUACUCCGGGGAUAACAGGCUGAUACCGCCCAAGAGUUCAUAUCGACGGCGGUGUUUGGCACCUCGAUGUCGGCUCAUCACAUCCUGGGGCUGAAGUAGGUCCCAAGGGUAUGGCUGUUCGCCAUUUAAAGUGGUACGCGAGCUGGGUUUAGAACGUCGUGAGACAGUUCGGUCCCUAUCUGCCGUGGGCGCUGGAGAACUGAGGGGGGCUGCUCCUAGUACGAGAGGACCGGAGUGGACGCAUCACUGGUGUUCGGGUUGUCAUGCCAAUGGCACUGCCCGGUAGCUAAAUGCGGAAGAGAUAAGUGCUGAAAGCAUCUAAGCACGAAACUUGCCCCGAGAUGAGUUCUCCCUGAC
rnacentral:rRNA from 1 species